UCAAAGAACUUACUAAUAGAAGCAUCAGCGUCGUGAUCGAGUGAAAUGUUGAAGAUGAGGUGAUUACUUUCACGUCUUGCACAGCUAACAAAAAUGGUUGCGGGAAUGAUAAGCGGUAAA
rnacentral:sRNA from 1 species